rnacentral:hammerhead_ribozyme from 1 species
AUCUACUUGACGAGGCCCCAAUAGGACGAAAUGCGCAUCCUGGUGGAU